GAUGAACGCUGGCGGCGUGCCUAAUACAUGCAAGUCGAGCGAACAGACGAGGAGCUUGCUCCUCUGACGUUAGCGGCGGACGGGUGAGUAACACGUGGAUAACCUACCUAUAAGACUGGGAUAACUUCGGGAAACCGGAGCUAAUACCGGAUAAUAUAUUGAACCGCAUGGUUCAAUAGUGAAAGACGGUUUUGCUGUCACUUAUAGAUGGAUCCGCGCCGCAUUAGCUAGUUGGUAAGGUAACGGCUUACCAAGGCAACGAUGCGUAGCCGACCUGAGAGGGUGAUCGGCCACACUAGAACUGAGACACGGUCCAGACUCCUACGGGAGGCAGCAGUAGGGAAUCUUCCGCAAUGGGCGAAAGCUUGACGGAGCAACGCCGCGUGAGUGAUGAAGGUCUUCGGAUCGUAAAACUCUGUUAUCAGGGAAGAACAAAUGUGUAAGUAACUAUGCACGUCUUGACGGUACCUAAUCAGAAAGCCACGGCUAACUACGUG
rnacentral:rRNA from 1 species